UUUAAGAAAAUCGAAGGAUGAGCUGUUACAGUUAGGAAGUUUAGUUUUGAAGGAAUUGUCGAGUGUAGAGACUUUGGGAAAUAAAUAUACAAUGCGUAUGACCACAGCUUCCGACAAGGGAAUUUCAUGGGCAACUUUAGAUAAGAUGUUUAAUACAUUUGCGACUUUUUGUAACAAAACUGAUAGAUGUUGAAUUUCAGAAGUCCUAGCAUCGGAAGUUUUUGAUUGAACGAUGUUAUCAAUCGCUUCAGGAACUGUGUACUCAAAUAUGGAAU